UACAGAGGGGGCAAGCGUUGUUCGGAAUUACUGGGCGUAAAGGGCGCGUAGGCGGCCUCUUAAGUCGAACGUGAAAUCCCCGGGCUCAACCCGGGAACUGCGUCCGAUACUGGGAGGCUUGAAUCCGGGAGAGGGAUGUGGAAUUCCAGGUGUAGCGGUGAAAUGCGUAGAUAUCGGGAGGAACACCUGUGGCGAAGGCGGCCCCCUGGUUCGGAUACUGACGGCUGAUACGCGAAAGCGUGGGGAGCAAACAGG
rnacentral:rRNA from 1 species